GCGGGGGUGCCCGAGCUUGGUCAAGGGGGCGGGUUUAGGUCCCGUUGGCGUAGGCCUGCGUGGGUUCAAAUCCCACCCCCCGCA
rnacentral:tRNA from 1 species